UUCGCAAUGCCCGAAAGGGUGACGAAGCGACGCCGCGUGUGGGAAGAAGGCCUUCGGGUUGUAAACCACUGUCGGGAGUUAAGAAAUGUAAGGGUGUUAAUAGCAUUCUUACUUGACUAAGGCUCCGGAGGAAGCCACGGCUAACUCUGUGCCAGCAGCCGCGGUAAUACAGAGGCGGCAAGCGUUGUUCGGAAUUAUUGGGCGUAAAGAGCACGUAGGCGGCCGUGUAAGUCGGUUGUGAAAGCCUUCCGCUUAACGGAAGAACAGCAGCCGAUACUGCAUAGCUUGAGUGCGGAAGGGGAGAGUGGAACUUCUGGUGGAGCGGUGAAAUGCGUAGAUAUCAGAAGGAACGCCGGCGGCGAAAGCGGCUCUCUGGUCCGUAACUGACGCUGAGUGUGCGAAAGCUAGGGGAGCAAACGGGAUUAGAUACCCCGGUAGUCCUAGCCGUAAACGAUGGGCACUAAGUAGAGGGGUUUU
rnacentral:rRNA from 1 species